CUUCCACAUUUACAGACUUCAAGUAUCAGUGAAAUCAUUUCAUAUUUAAUCUUCAUAUCCCUUUCUCUCUCUGAAAAAGGAAAAAGGAAAGUAUCACAAAAUUAAACCCAAUCUAUCUUCUAUCUCAACUAACCAAUCUAUCUUUGUAUCUAUCGAUCAAAGUAUAUAUAUCUGACGGAGGCAGUGGUGAACAUGGUUUUGAUAUGGCCAGUUGUUGCGACAGAGAUGACGAACAAUGUUUCAAUGUCCGGCCGAUGAUAUUACGACUUUUCAGAUCUACAUUGGAUCUAUAUAUUGUCGUGAUUAUGUUAUUUAAAUUGAUUGUAAGUUUUGAGAGAACUUUUCUGAUUUAAUUUUGGUUGGUAAAAAAGAUAAUAUUCUUGUUAUUGGUAAUUUUGGGUUAUGUAAUAUACUUUUCUUUUCUUUUUUUAUAUAAAACUUGGUAGUCCUGAAACAUCACCGAAGCUGUUAUAUAUGUUUCAUGGUUAACAGGUCGUGUCAGACCUGUUAUGCCAGCCCCACUGGGGACUCAGGAAUUUACUUUGGAUUCUCGGCCGACUCGGGGAGUUAUACAUAUUUGGAUUAUUGGUAAACCUUAUGUUUGUUAAGACUUGUAUGUGGAUCUACUCGAACAAAAACACUCAUUACAAGCACAUAUAUAUAUGAUAUAGUGUAUGUUCUCUCAA